rnacentral:rRNA from 1 species
GAUGAACGCUGGCGGCGUGCCUAAUACAUGCAAGUCGAGCGAACAGACGAGGAGCUUGCUCCUCUGACGUUAGCGGCGGACGGGUGAGUAACACGUGGAUAACCUACCUAUAAGACUGGGAUAACUUCGGGAAACCGGAGCUAAUACCGGAUAAUAUAUUGAACCGCAUGGUUCAAUAGUGAAAGACGGUUUUGCUGUCACUUAUAGAUGGAUCCGCGCCGCAUUAGCUAGUUGGUAAGGUAACGGCUUACCAAGGCAACGAUGCGUAGCUGACCUGAGAGGGUGAUCGGCCACACUGGAACUGAGACACGGUCCAGACUCCUACGGGAGGCAGCAGUAGGGAAUCUUCCGCAAUGGGCGAAAGCCUGACGGAGCAACGCCGCGUGAGUGAUGAAGGUCUUCGGAUCGUAAAACUCUGUUAUUAGGGAAGAACAAAUGUGUAAGUAACUAUGCACGUCUUGACGGUACCUAAUCAGAAAGCCACGGCUAACUACGUG